AGAGUUUGAUUAUGGCUCAGGAUGAACGCUGGCGGCGUGCCUAACACAUGCAAGUCGAACGGAAACUAGACGCUUCGGAGACUUCGGUCAAUGUUUGUUAGUUUAGUGGCGGACGGGUGAGUAACGCGUGGAUAACCUGCCGUAUACAGGGGGAUAACAGUUAGAAAUGACUGCUAAUACCGCAUAAGCGCACGGGAUCGCAUGUUCCUGUGUGAAAAACUCCGGUGGUAUACGAUGGAUCCGCGUCUGAUUAGCUAGUUGGCGGGGUAACAGCCCACCAAGGCGACGAUCAGUAGCCGGCCUGAGAGGGUGAACGGCCACAUUGGGACUGAGACACGGCCCAAACUCCUACGGGAGGCAGCAGUGGGGGAUAUUGCACAAUGGGGGAAACCCUGAUGCAGCGAACCGCCGCGUGAGUGAAGAAGUAUUUCGGUAUGUAAAGCUCUAUCAGCAGGGAAGAUAAUGACGGUACCUGACUAAGAAGCACCGGCUAAAUACGUGCCAGCAGCCGC
rnacentral:rRNA from 1 species